GUUCUGUGGGAAUUAGAGGUAAACACCUCCCUUGAACGUGAGUUCUCAUAGUAUAAGCGAUGUCCGUUGGAGAGCCUGAUGAUGUCCCACCACGAUGCAACGGCUCUCCUGGCUGGGGCUAGUGGAAGCAGUUUUGAUGGAAGUUAAGGAUUUGCAACUUAGAGGAUUUCUGGGAUAAUUCUCUUAAAGUAGUGACUUCACCAACAGGAAUUCCAGGCCCCCUGGUGUGCCAGCUCAAGGGAUAAGCAGAGUAUGUCGGGUUCCCAGGUGCCAAUGAACAGAGAAAUAGCCAAAGGGCUCGCUGAGUGGGAGCAGAGGUAAAUGGGCCUGGAUAAUUGGAAAACUGGAUAGUCACGAGGUUAACUAUGCCACAGGCAAGAAUCCAGAUGGUUCCAACCUACCUCAGCCAGUGUGAGAAUGCCCAGUAGAUGUGUUUCUUUUGUAGUUCCUUUACUAGAAGCUUUAUAAGAGCAGGCAUGUUCACUGUUUCACAGGCUAAUAGAAAUAAAGUAUGUAUGUGCAUCUUAUGUAACAUAUCCCUACGUAUGUAUGCUGAAUUCAGUAGGCAGCCAUGUUCAGUAUUUUAGAGCUGUAGCCAUCACUCAACUCCCUUGUGUUGAUAAGAAGAAACAUUCGGGGAAAAGAAGACCUAUUUGUUUAUUGUAAGAUUCAAAAUCUCUAAGGGUAAUGGCCUUUAUUUCUUUCCUACUCAGAAGUUUGUUUUUCCCUAUUUAAUAGCUCAUACAGGAUUUUGAAAAAGGAAAACUUAAAAAUUUUAAUUAGAACCAUAUCCUAAAUAUCCUUCUGCUCUUCUGCAUGUUUGUUUAUUUUU
rnacentral:lncRNA from 1 species